rnacentral:rRNA from 1 species
UACGAAGGGGGCUAGCGUUGUUCGGAAUUACUGGGCGUAAAGCGCACGUAGGCGGACAUUUAAGUCAGGGGUGAAAUCCCGGGGCUCAACCCCGGAACUGCCUUUGAUACUGGGUGUCUUGAGUCCGGAAGAGGUGAGUGGAAUUGCGAGUGUAGAGGUGAAAUUCGUAGAUAUUCGGAAGAACACCAGUGGCGAAGGCGGCUCACUGGCCCGAUACUGACGCUGAGGUGCGAAAGCGUGGGGAGCAAACAGG